rnacentral:rRNA from 1 species
AUGCCAUUUGGACUCUCAAAUGCACCAAGUACCUUUAUGCACUUAAUGAAUCAAGUCCUUAGACCCUUCUUAUCCCACUUUGUUGUGGUUUAUUUCGAUGACAUCUUGAUCUAUAACAAGGAUGAGGAUGAACACUUUGCUCACAUUCGGAAGGUGCUAGAAGUACUAAGGGAAAAUGAGCUCUACGUCAACUUGAAGAAAUGUGUUUUCCUGCAAACACAACUUCUUUUCCUAGGAUUCGUCAUAACAUGUGACGGCAUUCAUGUUGAUGAUUUUAAGGUUGAAGCAAUCCGAGAAUGGCCAACUCCUAAGACCAUUUCUGAGGUAAGAAGCUUUCAUGGCCUUGCAACUUUCUAUAGGCGAUUCGUGAAGAAUUUCAGCACUAUCAUGGCACCAAUUACCGAGUGUUUGAAGAAAGGAAAGUUCCAAUGGAUAGAAGCUGCUGAAGCUAGUUUCAAUGAGAUUACACAAAAGCUAUCACAAGCUCCUGUCUUGGUACUACCUGAUUUCAACAAGACCUUUGAGUUGGAGUGUGAUGCAAGUGGAGUAGGCAUUGGAGCUGUCCUAUCUCAAGAAAGGAAGCCCAUUGCUUUCUUUAGUGAGAAGUUAAGUGAAGCUAGACAUAAAUGGAGUACCUAUCAACAAUAA